rnacentral:lncRNA from 1 species
GAAAAAUCCAUUAGAGUAAAAAAAUGAGAAAUUUUAUAAAGGGCAGAGUUGCUUAGAAUCACAAAGUCAUGCUUUCAGUAUAAGAUAUGAAUUAAAUUGAUUAACCUUUGUGUUAAUAAAACAGCAUCCUUCUUAGAAGUCUUAACUCCAUGGGAAAAGAAAACAUCCAAGAGUUUGUGUCAUUACCGUAAUCACCUUACUAGCAAUGUGUGGCUUUUAAAAUCUUAGAGAUUUGCAGUCUUAGUCUGCAAAAUGACAUUUCGGAUUUACCAAGUUAAAAAUCCACCUGUGUUUGCUGAAUGUGUAAGUGCUAGAUGUGGCUUUAGAUUCUGUCCCUGAAGCUUAACAUAGCUGGCCCUGGCAGCAUGGGAAAGCCCCCCAUGAAUGUAGUAAGCAGCUUGCCUGGGUCACCAUGGCCUGACCUCAAACCAGCUUAAGGCUUUUAAAUCCUCUCUCAGAAUUUGCAAUUCCAGCUUCUCUCCUUCCUAGUGAGAGAGCAAGUGGGAAAGGAUUAAAUAUAGCCAUAGAGGCUCAUCAGGACACUUGAUAACUCUGGAGUUUUUAAAAGCUCCCAAGAGAGGAUUUUUCAGCUAAAUGCCAACCCCAGAAAUAAUUCCAUUUUAAACAGUUCUCAUUCAUCCAUCCUUCACUACAAAGGCUAAGCUUGACCGCCUUUAGCCAGGCAGACACACUAAUGUAUGUUUUUUUUUAAGAGAGAGAGAGAGAAUUUUAAUAUUUAUUUUUUAGUUCUCCGCGGACACAGCAUUCUUGUUUGCAUGUGGUGCUGAGGAUCGAACCCGGGCCCCACGCAUGCCAGGCGAGCGCGCUACCGCUUGAGCCACAUCCCCAGCCCUAAUGUAUGUUUUAUUCAGCAAUGUUAUACAGAAAUCCACUAG